UACGGAGGAUGCGAGCGUUAUCCGGAUUUAUUGGGUUUAAAGGGUGCGUAGGCGGCCGAGUAAGUCAGCGGUGAAAUUUUGCAGCUUAACUGUAACAGUGCCGUUGAUACUGGGGAGCUAGGAUUUGGUUGCUGUGGGUGGAAUGUGUCAUGUAGCGGUGAAAUGCAUAGAGAUGACACAGAACACCGAUAGCGAAGGCAGCUCACAAAGCUAUUACUGACGCUGAUGCACGAAAGCGUGGGGAUCAAACA
rnacentral:rRNA from 1 species